rnacentral:rRNA from 1 species
CCUACGGGGGGCAGCAGUGAGGAAUAUUGGUCAAUGGGCGAGAGCCUGAACCAGCCAAGUCGCGUGAGGGAGUACUGCCCUAUGGGUUGUAAACCUCUUUUGUCGGGGAGCAAAAGCCGGACGUGUACGGCUGUGAGAGUACCCGAAGAAAAAGCAUCGGCUAACUCCGUGCCAGCAGCCGCGGUAAUACGGAGGAUGCGAGCGUUAUCCGGAUUUAUUGGGGUUAAGGGGUGCGCAGGCGGAUUUUUAAGUCAGCGGUCAAAUCGUGGGGCUCAACCCCAUCCAGCCGUUGAAACUGGGGAUCUAGAGUGUGCGAGAGGUAUGCGGAAUGCGUGGUGUAGCGGUGAAAUGCAUAGAUAUCACGCAGAACCCCGAUUGCGAAGGCAGCAUACCGGUGCACAACUGACGCUCAGGCACGAAAGCGUGGGUAUCGAACAGGAUUAGAUACCCCGGUAGUC